rnacentral:lncRNA from 1 species
CUUCAAAAAAAAUAAAAACUGGCAUUAACCUGUCAAAAAAAAAACUGGCAUUAAACAGUAAAAAAAUGGCAAUAAUCAUUUUAGCUGGUGAGCCUAUAAAGUUUGGGCUUUAGUUGUCUGACCUUUAGAUUAACUUUGGAUCUCUUUAUUCAAAGUUGGAGUAAAGGUUGAUUUUAUGAAUUUUGCUUUUUAGACACUCUUCAUGUUGUUUUUAGACUAUUCAAAAUUUUAUUUUUAUCCUUAUAUAUAAAAGCAAAUCAUACACCACAUGAUCACUUUCAAUGGAGUUCAAAGCCUAACUUAGCAAAACAAAAAAUAGAGACAAUUCAUGCUUUGAAGUUGCAAUCAAACAGUGACAGAUGCAAUGCAAUGAGCUUCUUCAUUCUCUCAAUAGCCUCCAAACCUUCUCUUCAAUGACAGAAUUUUGUAUGAUCAGAUUUGUGAUCCACAAUGGAAAAUAGAUACAUAGAUAUAUACAAACAAUAAUACAAUGGUUAUGCAUUAGUUUUUUCUUGAAAAAUGCAAGCCAACUGAUGAUGCUCGGUAUAUAACAGAUACAAUUAAGUGACAAACAUUGGCUACUAUCUUUGAUUUUAUCUGCCCUCUCUUAGGAACUGGUGUUGAUCUUGAUCUUGAGCACUUCAUGUUUGCAAUUUCUGAAGCUUCAAAAUGAUGGACAGUAAUGGUAUUAUUGAUCAUUUUGCUAAAAAAUAAAUGGAUACCUUAAGCUAGAAGAAGAAUGAGUUUCAGAAAAUGGGGAUGAAUGAAUGAAUGAAUGAAAAGAAAGUGAAGUAUAUGAGUUUAUAUAGCUCCC